CAGGUAUCGACACUUUUAAUAGACUAAUAUUAUGCAAGUCAAGAUUGAGUAUUUCUUGUGAAUAAGACUCAGUAAAAUAAAUGCAAAUAAUAUAGUACCUUUCUCUCGUAAAGUUGCUUUAGUAUAAGAACUUAAGU
rnacentral:tmRNA from 11 species